GCCCUUGUAGCUCAGUUGGAAGAGCGUUCCAGUUGUAAUGGAAAUGUCGAGUGUUCGAGCCACUCCGGGGGCA